AAGCUCCAAAAGAGAGCUAGAACCCUUCCAAACCAAGCCCAAGGAAGGUUCUAAACCAAUCAAUUUAGCCUCAAAAGCCCUAGAUCAAAAAGCCCCAAAAAUCAACCCUAAUACCCAUUCUAGGGUUCCAAAUGGUGAAAACCUACCAAAUCAAGGAUCAAAGGGUAGAAUCCAAGUACUAACCUCCCAAGAUGCCUCCAAACAAGCUCCAAAUCUUCUAGGGUUGAAGAUUGGCCCACCACCAAGCUCUACAAGCAAGCUCCAAGCCUUGCAAAGGUGGAAAAGAGAGAAUGGGGUUGAGCUCCAAGCUCCCUCAAGCUAGCUCCUCUCCUUCUUCUCCUCCUUCUUCUUCUUCUUCUCUCUCUAGGAAGUGUAGGGAGAGGAUGAGAAUGAGAAAAUGAGAGAGGGGAGAGGAGGAAAUGGCUAAUAAGCCCAUCUAAUGUAACAAAAUCCAACGAGGCCCCUCAAAAAUUCAAUAUUGCAUCAGCCCGGUCUGGGCAGUUUUCGCCCAGAGGGACCGGUCUCUCCCCAGCAGGGACCGGUCUCUCGCUGCGAACCCGAAAAACCAGCGUUCGGGAACCGGUCUCUCCCUGCGCGGGACCGGUCUCUCACUGCGAAGACGC
rnacentral:lncRNA from 1 species